rnacentral:lncRNA from 1 species
GGGACUGAAGAACCCAGUUAAAAAUGGAAGGAAAAACAUCCACCCAAUUUAAACAGUUUAUGCAUUUAUGUAAAAUCAGGUACGAGGGUGGCCCUGCUGUCUGGAUACCCCAGGAAGCUCUGGGAAGGUGUCUACGUGGACAACUUGGUCGGAAUGGUCACUGGAGAAGUGUCCACAGGCCUGGCCUCUCCUGGAUGGCUCUGCCCCGGGUACUCCUGACCCCUUGGUCAUCACGGCUCUGGGUUCCCACAACACUAAAGAGAAUGUGGACCUAACACAAUGGCUUCACUCACGUGGGUCUAGGACUGCGCCAAGCCUUUGCACACGAGAGCAUUUCACUUUGAAAGUUGUUUUGAUCGUGUCGUGUCCUGUAAAACCUUCGUAAAAAUCUUAGCUGUGACCGUUUCAUGUGACGGAUUCCCUCCCAUUAAGAACUAUAUUAGUCCCUCUUUUAGAAAAUCCCCGGUUGUUUUGUACAGUCUGCCUUCUCUCUCUGCUCCUAGCAUCGCUUUACGCCUAGUACUUUCGCUCCUAGGAACACAUGGGCUUUCCCUACGGAGACCACUCAGCAGGGGCCAGCUCUGAAUGACGUCUGGACUUUCUGGACGGCCUCUCCCUCUGCUUCGGGAAGCUCUGUAGUUAGACAAGUGCUAUAGGUGAUGAAAAGAAGGAAGCUAUUACAAGCUGGACUCUGGUCGCGGGUCUGCUGGAGGCUUGUGCAAAGGCCGGUCACUCUACGGCUGCUGUCAUUUGGACGUGACAUUUACAGAGAAGCGGUCCAGCAUACCAGCAGGGCCUCCAAACACACUGGAGCAUGAAAAGAUACAUUUUUUAGACACCAGCACAGGGUGUGUGGGAGGACAGGCAGUUGACUUAAAAGAGGUGUGGGCUGGGGCUGUCUAGGUAAAUGAUGACUGGCAAGCUUGCCAGAAAUGGAUUAAUGCCCUAGAAUCCCCAGGACUUUCCUUCUAAAGUCAGGUAGUGAAGUGGCUGUUUGGUUUCCUUAAUGCUGGCUACCUACUUGGGGAACAUGGCUGCUCAUUAAAACAUUCAACACAAGGGCAAACAGUGAGUGGCCCACGAGAGCCACCCUGGUACCUAGGAGUCCUGUGUCUAUAAAAGCACAUGGUCUAGACUUGCUUUUGGACAGAAACCCGAGGAUGAAAGGUGCCAACAGCCAUGACUAGUUGAUCAUGGUAUCUUGGUGUCAAUCAUGGUCUCUUUAGUUGAUUGUUUCUGCCUCCCUACUCCCCAGUCAUGGAUGUUUUGGAGCCU